GACGAACGCUGGCGGCGUGCUUAACACAUGCAAGUCGAACGGAAAGGCCUGUCCUUCCUUGUGUUGGACGGGUACUCGAGUGGCGAACGGGUGAGUAACACGUGAGUGAUCUGCCCCCAACUUGGGUAUAAGCCUGGGAAACUGGGUCUAAUUCCCGAUAGGACUGCAGGGUGGUGCCUGUGGUGGAAAACGAUUUUCUAGUGGUUGGGGAUGAGCUCGCGGCCUAUCAGCUUGUUGGUGGGGUAAUGGCCUACCAAGGCGGCGACGGGUAGCCGGCCUGAGAGGGUGGACGGCCACAUUGGGACUGAGAUACGGCCCAGACUCCUACGGGAGGCAGCAGGGGGGAAUAUUGCACAAUGGGCGGAAGCCUGAUGCAGCGACGCCGCGUGGGGGAUGACGGCCUUCGGGUUGUAAACUCCUUUCGACCGCGAGGAAGCCGCCUGGUUGGAAGGGUGGUGACGGUAGUGGUAGAAGAAGCACCGGCUAACUACGUG
rnacentral:rRNA from 1 species